UACGGAAGGUGCAAGCGUUAAUCGGAAUUACUGGGCGUAAAGCGCGCGUAGGCGGCUUCGUAAGUCGGGUGUGAAAGCCCCGGGCUCAACCUGGGAACUGCGCUCGAUACUGCGGAGCUCGAGUACGAGAGAGGGGGGUGGAAUUCCAGGUGUAGCGGUGAAAUGCGUAGAUAUCAGGAGGAACACCGGUGGCGAAGGCGGUUCUCUGGACGGUGACUGACGCUGAGACGCGAAAGCGUGGGGAGCAAACAGG
rnacentral:rRNA from 1 species